rnacentral:rRNA from 1 species
CCAGACUCCUACGGGAGGCAGCAGUGGGGAAUAUUGCGCAAUGGGCGAAAGCCUGACGCAGCGACGCCGCGUGAGGGAUGGAGGUCUUCGGAUCGUAAACCUCUGUCAGCAGGGAAGAACGGUCACUGUGCUAAUCAGCAGUGAAUUGACGGUACCUGCAAAGGAAGCACCGGCUAACUCCGUGCCAGUAGCCGCGGUAAUACGGAGGGUGCGAGCGUUAAUCGGAAUUACUGGGCGUAAAGAGAGCGUAGGCGGCACUACAAGUCUCAUGUGAAAUACCCGGGCUUAACUUGGGGGUUGCAUGGGAAACUGUAGAGCUUGAGUACAGGAGAGGCAAGCGGAAUUCCUAGUGUAGCGGUGAAAUGCAUAGAUAUUAGGAGGAACACCAGUGGCGAAGGCGGCUUGCUGGACUGAAACUGACGCUGAGGCUCGAAAGCGUGGGGAGCAAACAGGAUUAGAUACCCGAGUA